rnacentral:rRNA from 1 species
UACGUAGGGUGCAAGCGUUGUCCGGAAUUAUUGGGCGUAAAGAGCUCGUAGGCGGUCUGUCGCGUCGGCUGUGAAAACCCAGGGCUCAACCCUGGGCCUGCAUUCGAUACGGGCAGACUAGAGUGUGGCAGGGGAGACUGGAAUUCCUGGUGUAGCGGUGAAAUGCGCAGAUAUCAGGAGGAACACCGGUGGCGAAGGCGGGUCUCUGGGCCAAUACUGACGCUGAGGAGCGAAAGCGUGGGGAGCGAACAGG